AGUGAACGCUGGCGGUAGGCCUAACACAUGCAAGUCGAACGGCAGCACAGUAAGAGCUUGCUCUUACGGGUGGCGAGUGGCGGACGGGUGAGGAAUAUAUCGGAAUCUACUUUUUCGUGGGGGUUAACGUAGGGAAACUUACGCUAAUACCGCAUACGACCUACGGGGGAAAGCAGGGGAUCUUCGGACCUUGCGGGAUUGAAUUAGCCGAUGUCGGAUUAGCUGGUUGGGGGGGUAAAGGCCCAGCAAGGCGACGAUCCGUAGCUGGUCUGAGAGGAUGAUCAGCCACACUGGAACUGAGACACGGUCCAGACUCCUACGGGAGGCAGCAGUGGGGAAUAUUGGACAAUGGGCGCAAGCCUGAUCCAGCCAUACCGCGUGGGUGAAGAAGGCCUUCGGGUUGUAAAGCCCUUUUGUUGGGAAAGAAAAGCAGCAGGUUAAUACCCCGCUGUUCUGACGGUACCCAAAGAAUAAGCACCGGCUAACUUCGUG
rnacentral:rRNA from 1 species